CAGUAGCCGCGGUAAUACGGAGGGUGCAAGCGUUAAUCGGAAUUACUGGGCGUAAAGCGUGCGUAGGCGGCUUUUUAAGUCGGAUGUGAAAUCCCUGAGCUUAACUUAGGAAUUGCAUUCGAUACUGGGAAGCUAGAGUAUGGGAGAGGAUGGUAGAAUUCCAGGUGUAGCGGUGAAAUGCGUAGAGAUCUGGAGGAAUACCGAUGGCGAAGGCAGCCAUCUGGCCUAAUACUGACGCUGAGGUACGAAAGCAUGGGGAGCAAACAGGAUUAGAUACCCGUGUAGUCCCUGUCUCUUAUAC
rnacentral:rRNA from 1 species